rnacentral:rRNA from 1 species
GAUGAACGCUGGCGGCGUGCCUAAUACAUGCAAGUCGAGCGAACAGAUGAGAAGCUGGCUUCUCUGAUGUUAGCGGCGGACGGGUGAGUAACAAGUGGGUAACCUACCUAUAAGACUGGGAUAACUCCGGGAAACCGGGGCUAAUACCGGCUAAGAUUUUGAACCGCAGGGUUCAAUAGUUAAAGCCGGUUUCGGCUGUCAUGUAUAGAUGGACACGCGCCGGAUUAGCUAGUUGGUAAGGUAACGGCUUACCAAGGCGACGAUACGUAGCCGACCUGAGAGGGUGAUCGGCCACACUGGAACUGAGACACGGUCCAGACUCCUACGGGAGGCAGCAGUAGGGUAUCUUCCGCAAUGGGCGAAAGCCUGACGGAGCAACGCCGCGUGAGUGAUGAAGGUCUUCGGAUCGUAAAACUCCGUUGUUAGGGAAGAACAAAUUUGUUAGUAACUGAACAAGUCUUGACGGUACCUAACCAGAAAGCCACGGCUAACUACGUGCCAGCCGCCGCGGUAA